UUCCGGUUGAUCCCGCCGGACCCCACUGCUAUCGAGAUGGGACUAAAGUAUGCUAGUCGAACGACCAGAACUAUGUCUGGAAGUGGCACACUGCUCAGUAACACGUAGCUAACCUACCCUUAGGACGUGGAUACCCCCGAGAAAUUGGGGUUAAUCCGCGAUAGAUGUAAUGUCCUGGAAUGGUAUUACGUCUAAAGGUAUUUCAUACAUGUUUGAAAUAUGCCUAAGGAUGGGGCUGCGGCCGAUCAGGCUGUUGGUGAGGUAAUGGCUCACCAAACCUUUGACCGGUACGGGCCAUGAGAGUGGUAGCCCGGAGAUGGACACUGAGACAAGGGUCCAGGCCCUAAGGGGCGCAGCAACCGCGAAACCUCCACAAUGCACUCACGUGCGAUGGGGCUAUCUCGAGUGCCACCUGAUGAAGGUGGCUUUUCCUUGGUCUUCAAAGCCUUGGGAAUAAGAGGGGGGCAAGACUGGUGUCAGCCGCCGCGGUAACACCAGCCCCUCGAGUGGUGGGGAUGAUUAUUUGGCCUAAAGCGUCCGUAGCCGGCCGAGUAAGUCCCCCGUUAAAUCCAGCGUCUCAAGCGUUGGACUGCGGGAGAUACUACUUGGCUAGAGAGUGGGAGAGGUCAGCGGUAUUCUGGGGGUAGGGGCGAAAUCCUUUGAUCCCCGGAGGACCACCAGUGGCGAAAGGCUGCUUACUAGAACACGUCUGACGUGUCAGGGGAC
rnacentral:rRNA from 1 species